rnacentral:lncRNA from 1 species
AAAGUUUCAAAGAAAUGAAAUAAAUGUACUCAAAUAGAUAAAUUACAAAUCCCACAUAUUAAACUAACGCUCUCAUUAUUUUAAAUUUAACACAUGCCAUGAGUCUGCAGUAUAGACUCAUACUCUAGUCUAAAAGUAGAAGAUAUUCUUUUUGGACACAGAUACUCGAGAUCCAUAGCAGACAAACCUUCAACCUAUGCGAGUUAAAAACAUCACGCUGAGUAUAAAA